CCUACGGGAGGCAGCAGUGGGGAAUAUUGCGCAAUGGGCGAAAGCCUGACGCAGCGACGCCGCGUGAGGGAUGAAGGUCUUCGGAUCGUAAACCUCUGUCAGCAGGGAAGAACGGUCACUGUGCUAAUCAGCAGUGAAUUGACGGUACCUGCAAAGGAAGCACCGGCUCACUCCGUGCCAGCAGCCGCGGUAAUACGGAGGGUGCGAGCGUUAAUCGGAAUUACUGGGCGUAAAGCGCUCGUAGGCGGUAUGUCAAGUCAAGGGUGAAAUCCCCGCGCUCAACGUGGGAACUGCCUUUGAAACUGGCAGACUGGAGUGUGGGAGAGGAAGGUGGAAUUCCAGGUGUAGGAGUGAAAUCCGUAGAUAUCAGGAAGAACAUCAGUGGCGAAGGCGACUAUCUGGCACAUAACUGACGCUGAGGAGCGAAAGCGUGGGUAGCAAACAGGAUUAGAUACCCGAGUAGUC
rnacentral:rRNA from 1 species